rnacentral:rRNA from 1 species
GAUGAACGCUGGCGGCGUGCCUAAUACAUGCAAGUCGAGCGAACAGACGAGGAGCUUGCUCCUCUGACGUUAGCGGCGGACGGGUGAGUAACACGUGGAUAACCUACCUAUAAGACUGGGAUAACUUCGGGAAACCGGAGCUAAUACCGGAUAAUAUAUUGAACCGCAUGGUUCAAUAGUGAAAGACGGUUUUGCUGUCACUUAUAGAUGGAUCCGCGCCGCAUUAGCUAGUUGGUAAGGUAACGGCUUACCAAGGCAACGAUGCGUAGCCGACCUGAGAGGGUGAUCGGCCACACUGGAACUGAGACACGGUCCAGACUCCUACGGGAGGCAGCAGUAGGGAAGCUUCCGCAAUGGGCGAAAGCCUGACGGAGCAACGCCGCGUGAGUGAUGAAGGUCUUCGGAUCGUAAAACUCUGUUAUUAGGGAAGAACAAAUGUGUAAGUAACUAUGCACGUCUUGACGGUACCUAAGCAGAAAGCCACGGCUAACUACGU